rnacentral:rRNA from 1 species
AGUGAACGCUGGCGGUAGGCCUAACACAUGCAAGUCGAACGGCAGCACAGUAAGAGCUUGCUCUUACGGGUGGCGAGUGGCGGACGGGUGAGGAAUACAUCGGAAUCUACUUUUUCGUGGGGGAUAACGUAGGGAAACUUACGCUAAUACCGCAUACGACCUACGGGUGAAAGCAGGGGAUCUUCGGACCUUGCGCGAUUGAAUGAGCCGAUGUCGGAUUAGCUAGUUGGCGGGGUAAAGGCCCACCAAGGCGACGAUCCGUAGCUGGUCUGAGAGGAUGAUCAGCCACACUGGAACUGAGACACGGUCCAGACUCCUACGGGAGGCAGCAGGGGGGAAUAUUGGACAAUGGGCGAAAGCCUGAUCCAGCCAUACCGCGUGGGUGAAGAAGGCCUUCGGGUCGUAAAGCCCUUUUGUUGGGAAAGAAAAGAAGGAGGUUAAUACCCCGCUGUUCUGACGGUACCCAAAGAAUAAGCACCGGCUAACUACGUG